UUUGAUAUUCCAUUAUGACGUUUGAUGAUUUGAUUAAGAAAUGAUGGUCAAAAUCUCCUUCUUCUGAGGAUAGAUGGAGAAUAUAUGGUGAUCAAAUCUUAGAAAGUGAAGUAAAAUAACUAUAGAAAAUAUCAUCGACAGAAAGCAAAAUGUAUCUCAUCAAAUUAAUGAGUUGGAUGAGGUAGACAAAGGAAUCUAAGCAUGGA
rnacentral:lncRNA from 1 species